UGGGGAAUAUUGCACAAUGGGCGCAAGCCUGAUGCAGCCAUGCCGCGUGUGUGAAGAAGGCCUUCGGGUUGUAAAGCACUUUCAGCGGGGAGGAAGGCGAUAAGGUUAAUAACCUCAUCGAUUGACGUUACCCGCAGAAGAAGCACCGGCUAACUCCGUGCCAGCAGCCGCGGUAAUACGGAGGGUGCAAGCGUUAAUCGGAAUUACUGGGCGUAAAGCGCACGCAGGCGGUUUGUUAAGUCAGAUGUGAAAUCCCCGGGCUCAACCUGGGAACUGCAUCGGAUACUGGCAAGCUUGAGUCUCGUAGAGGGGGGUAGAAUUCCAGGUGUAGCGGUGAAAUGCGUAGAGAUCUGGAGGAAUACCGGUGGCGAAGGCGGCCCCCUGGACGAAGACUGACGCUCAGGUGCGAAAGCGUGGGGAGCAAACAGG
rnacentral:rRNA from 1 species